GACGACGCUUGCGGCGUGCCUAAGAAAUGCAAGUCGAGCGAGGUUUAGUCUUCGGACGAAGACCUAGCGGCGAACGGUCGCGUAACACGUAAGCAACCUGCCCUAAAGUUGGGGAUAGCCCUCCGAAAGGAGGAUUAAUACCGAAUGUGGACACUGCCUCGCAUGUAGCGGUGUCUAAAGCAGCAAUGCGCUUUAGGAUGGGCUUGCGGCCUAUCAGCUAGUUGGUGUGGGUAACGGCUCACCAAGGCGACGACGGGUAGCUGGUCUGAGAGGAUGGUCAGCCGGACUGGGACUGAGAUACGGCCCAGACUCCUACGGGGGGCAGCAAUUAGGAAUCUUGCGCAAUGGGCGAAAGCCUGACGCAGCGACGCCGCGUGACUGAUGAAGUCUUUCGGGAUGUAAAGGUCUUUUGUGGGGGACGAAGGAAGUGACGGUACCCCACGAAUAAGCCCCGGCUAACUACGUG
rnacentral:rRNA from 1 species